CCCUUUGAUACUCUGGGCGGCACGCGCGCUACAAUGGAUGACAUAACGUGAUACACUGCCGAAAGGUUAGUUAGUAAAUCACAAAUGUUAAGUCUCGAGUGGGAUAGUUUGUUGCAAUUAAAGACUUGAACUAGGAAUCCCUUGUAGGUACACUGAAGCAUAGUGUACCGAAUACGUCCCUGCCGUUUGUACACACCGCCCGUCGUUUCUUCCGACUGAUACUCAUUGUGAAUUACGGGGAUGGAUCCGUCUAAAACUGUUGUGAAUGCUGGGUAUUGGAGGAAGAAAAAGUCGUAACA
rnacentral:rRNA from 1 species